UUACGGCUACACCACGUUGAAAAACCGGUUCCCGUACGAUUACCAAAGUUAAGCAACGUCGAGCCUGGUCAGUACCUAGAUGGGUUACCGAUGGUGAACACCAGGUGAUGG